AUUGAACGCUGGCGGCAUGCCUUACACAUGCAAGUCGAACGGUAACGCGGGGCAACCUGGCGACGAGUGGCGAACGGGUGAGUAAUGCAUCGGAACGUGCCCAGUUGUGGGGGAUAACUGCUCGAAAGAGCAGCUAAUACCGCAUACGACCUGAGGGUGAAAGCGGGGGAUCGCAAGACCUCGCGCAAUUGGAGCGGCCGAUGUCGGAUUAGCUAGUUGGUGGGGUAAAGGCCCACCAAGGCAACGAUCCGUAGCUGGUCUGAGGGGACGACCAGCCACACGGGGACUGAGACACGGCCCAGCCUCCGACGGGAGGCAGCAGUGGGGAAUUUUGGACAAUGGACGCAAGUCUGAUCCAGCCAUGCCGCGUGCGGGAAGAAGGCCUUCGGGUUGUAAACCGCUUUUGUCAGGGAAGAAAUCUUCUGGGUUAAUACCUCGGGAGGAUGACGGUACCUGAAGAAUAAGCACCGGCUAACUACGUGCCAGCCGCCGCGGUAACAC
rnacentral:rRNA from 1 species